AGUUUGAUCCUGGCUCAGGACGAACGCUGGCGGCGCGCCUAACACAUGCAAGUCGAACGAGAGAUGAGGAGCUUGCUCUUCAAAUCGAGUGGCGAACGGGUGAGUAACGCGUGAGGAACCUGCCUCAAAGAGGGGGACAACAGUUGGAAACGACUGCUAAUACCGCAUAAGCCCACAGCUCGGCAUCGAGCAGAGGGAAAAGGAGUGAUCCGCUUUGAGAUGGCCUCGCGUCCGAUUAGCUAGUUGGUGAGGUAAUGGCCCACCAAGGCGACGAUCGGUAGCCGGACUGAGAGGUUGAACGGCCACAUUGGGACUGAGACACGGCCCAGACUCCUACGGGAGGCAGCAGUGGGGAAUAUUGCACAAUGGGGGAAACCCUGAUGCAGCGACGCCGCGUGGAGGAAGAAGGUCUUCGGAUUGUAAACUCCUGUUGUUGAGGAAGAUAAUGACGGUACUCAACAAGGAAGUGACGGCUAACUACGUACCAGCAGCCGCGGUAAAACGUAGGUCACAAGCGUUGUCCGGAAUUACUGGGUGUAAAGGGAGCGCAGGCGGGAGAACAAGUUGGAAGUGAAAUCCAUGGGCUCAACCCAUGAACUGCUUUCAAAACUGUUUUUCUUGAGUAGUGCAGAGGUAGGCGGAAUUCCCGGUGUAGCGGUGGAAUGCGUAGAUAUCGGGAGGAACACCAGUGGCGAAGGCGGCCUACUGGGCACCAACUGACGCUGAGGCUCGAAAGUGUGGGUAGCAAACAGGAUUAGAUACCCUGGUAGUCCACACCGUAAACGAUGAUUACUAGGUGUUGGAGGAUUGACCCCUUCAGUGCCGCAGUUAACACAAUAAGUAAUCCACCUGGGGAGUACGACCGCAAGGUUGAAACUCAAAGGAAUUGACGGAAGG
rnacentral:rRNA from 1 species